rnacentral:rRNA from 1 species
CCCUACGGGGCGCAGCAGUCGCGAAAACUCCGCAAUACACGAAAGUGUGACGGGGCUAUCCCGAGUGCCGUCCGCUGAGGAUGGCUUUUCUCCAGUGUAACAAGCUGGAGGAAUAAGGAGAGGGCAAGUCUGGUGUCAGCCGCCGCGGUAAUACCAGCUCUCCGAGUGGUAGGGAUGUUUAUUGGGCUUAAAGCGUCCGUAGCCGGCUUAACAAGUCCUCCGUUAAAUCCAGCGAUUCAAUCGUUGGACUGCGGGGGAUACUGUUA